rnacentral:rRNA from 1 species
AUUGAACGCUGGCGGCAUGCCUUACACAUGCAAGUCGAACGGCAGCACGGGGCAACCUGGUGGCGAGUGGCGAACGGGUGAGUAAUGCAUCGGAACGUACCUUUCAGUGGGGGAUAACGUAGCGAAAGUUACGCUAAUACCGCAUAUUCUGUGAGCAGGAAAGCAGGGGAUCGCAAGACCUUGCGCUGAUUGAGCGGCCGAUGUCAGAUUAGCUAGUUGGUGAGGUAAAGGCUCACCAAGGCGACGAUUUGUAGCGGGUCUGAGAGGAUGAGACGCCACACUGGAACUGGUACACGGGCCGGACUCCUACGGGAGGCAGCAGUGGUGAAUUGUGGACAAUGGGGGCAACCCUGAUCCAGCCAUGCCGCGUGAGUGAAGAAGGCCUUCGGGUUGUAAAGCUCUUUCGGCCGGGAAGAAAUCGCACGGGCUAAUACCCUGUGUGGAUGACGGUACCGGAAUAAGAAGCACCGGCUAACUACGUGCCAGCCGCCGCGGUAA